rnacentral:rRNA from 1 species
AACGAACGCUGGCGGCAGGCUUAACACAUGCAAGUCGAGCGCCCCGCAAGGGGAGCGGCAGACGGGUGAGUAACGCGUGGGAAUCAACCCAAUACUACGGAAUAGCUCCGGGAAACUGGAAUUAAUACCGUAUGUGCCCUACGGGGGAAAGAUUUAUCGGUAUUGGAUGAGCCCGCGUUGGAUUAGCUAGUUGGUGGGGUAAUGGCCUACCAAGGCGACGAUCCAUAGCUGGUCUGAGAGGAUGAUCAGCCACACUGGGACUGAGACACGGCCCAGACUCCUACGGGAGGCAGCAGUGGGGAAUAUUGGACAAUGGGCGAAAGCCUGAUCCAGCCAUGCCGCGUGGGUGAUGAAGGCCUUAGGGUUGUAAAGCUCUUUUAGUGGGGAAGAUAAUGACGGUACCCACAGAAAAAGCCCCGGCUAACUUCGUGCCAGCCGCCGCGGUAA